rnacentral:rRNA from 1 species
UACGGAGGGCGCGAGCGUUGCUCGGAUUUACUGGGCGUAAAGGGUGUGUAGGCGGUUUGGGGAGUCACAUGUGAAAGGCCAUUGCUCAACCGAGGAACUGCGUUGGAUACUGUCUAGCUAGAGGGUGGGAGAGGGUGGUGGAAUUCCCGGAGUAGCGGUGAAAUGCGUAGAUACCGGGAGGAACGCCGGUGGCGAAGGCAGCUUCCUGGCUGGUUUCUGACGAUGAUGCGCGAAAGCGAGGGGAGCAAACGGG